GCGGCGUGCUUAACACAUGCAAGUCGAACGAACCUUCGGGUUAGUGGCGGACGGGUGAGUAACGCGUGGGAAUCUGCCCUCAGGAGGGGGAUAACGGUUGGAAACGACCGCUAAUACCCCAUAUGCCGAGAGGUGAAAUGAAUUUCGCCUGAGGAUGAGCCCGCGUCUGAUUAGCUUGUUGGUGAGGUAAUGGCUCACCAAGGCAUCGAUCAGUAGCUGGUCUGAGAGGAUGAUCAGCCACACUGGGACUGAGACACGGCCCAGACUCCUACGGGAGGCAGCAGUGGGGAAUUUUCCGCAAUGGGCGAAAGCCUGACGGAGCAACGCCGCGUGAGGGACGAAGGCCUCUGGGCUGUAAACCUCUUUUCUCAAGGAAGAAGAUAUGACGGUACUUGAGGAAUAAGCCACGGCUAAUUCCGUGCCAGCAGCCGCGGUAAUACGGGAGUGGCAAGCGUUAUCCGGAAUUAUUGGGCGUAAAGCGUCCGCAGGCGGCUUUUCAAGUCUGCUGUUAAAGCGUGGAGCUUAACUCCAUCAUGGCAGUGGAAACUGAUUGGCUUGAGUAUGGUAGGGGCAGAGGGAAUUCCCGGUGUAGCGGUGAAAUGCGUAGAUAUCGGGAAGAACACCAGUGGCGAAGGCGCUCUGCUGGGCCAUUACUGACGCUCAUGGACGAAAGCCAGGGGAGCGAAAGGGAUUAGAUACCCCUGUAGUCCUGGCCGUAAACGAUGAACACUAGGUGUCGGGGGAAUCGACCCCUUCGGUGUCGUAGCUNACGCGUUAAGUGUUCCGCCUGGGGAGUACGCACGCAAGUGUGAAA
rnacentral:rRNA from 1 species